GAAUCGCACCAGCAAUGCCGGCCAGCCGUAGAGGGAGGAAGAGCCCGGGGAGCCCGAGCAUAGCGUAAACGGCUCUCUGACCUUAAUUUCAUCCUGCAUGGCGAAUCUCUGCCGUCUCUCUGAACGCAGAAGGGUCUGAGACUGGCCGUCUCCUUUUCUUUCCUUAAAAUGGACCCAAGUGGGGUCAAAGUGCUGGAAACAGCAGAGGACAUCCAGGAGAGGCGGCAGCAGGUCCUAGACCGAUACCACCGCUUCAAGGAACUCUCAACCCUUAGGCGUCAGAAGCUGGAAGAUUCCUAUCGAUUCCAGUUCUUUCAAAGAGAUGCUGAAGAGCUGGAGAAAUGGAUACAGGAAAAACUUCAGAUUGCAUCUGAUGAGAAUUAUAAAGACCCAACCAACUUGCAGACCCGUUUGAUGGAGCUGCACCGCCAGUGGGAAUUACUUUUGGAGAAGAUGCGAGAAAAAGGAAUCAAACUGCUGCAGGCCCAGAAGUUGGUGCAGUACUUACGAGAAUGUGAGGACGUGAUGGACUGGAUCAAUGACAAGGAAGCAAUUGUUACUUCUGAAGAGCUGGGCCAGGAUCUGGAGCAUGUAGAGGUUUUACAGAAGAAAUUUGAAGAGUUUCAAACAGAUAUGGCUGCUCAUGAAGAAAGAGUUAAUGAAGUGAACCAAUUUGCUGCCAAACUCAUACAGGAGCAGCACCCUGAGGAGGAACUGAUCAAGACUAAGCAGGAUGAAGUCAAUGCAGCCUGGCAGCGGCUGAAGGGCCUGGCUCUGCAGAGGCAGGGGAAGCUCUUUGGGGCAGCAGAAGUUCAGCGCUUUAACAGGGAUGUGGAUGAGACUAUCAGUUGGAUUAAGGAAAAGGAGCAGUUAAUGGCCUCUGAUGAUUUUGGCCGAGACCUGGCAAGUGUUCAGGCUCUGCUUCGGAAGCACGAGGGUCUGGAGAGAGAUCUUGCUGCUCUAGAAGACAAGGUGGGUUUUACAAGCAGCUGAUUCUGUAAAUAAGUUACCAAGGGUCAGGAGAAUAGUUCUGACGGAGUUCAUUUCUAGGUCAAAGCCCUGUGUGCUGAGGCUGACCGCCUGCAACAGUCCCACCCUCUGAGUGCAACACAGAUUCAAGUGAAGCGAGAGGAACUGAUUACAAACUGGGAGCAGAUCCGCACCUUGGCGGCAGAGAGACAUGCACGGCUCAAUGAUUCAUACAGGCUUCAACGCUUCCUUGCUGACUUCCGUGACCUCACCAGCUGGGUGACUGAGAUGAAAGCCCUCAUCAAUGCAGAUGAGCUUGCCAAUGAUGUGGCUGGGGCUGAAGCCCUGCUAGAUAGACACCAAGAACACAAGGGUGAAAUUGAUGCCCAUGAAGACAGCUUCAAAUCUGCAGAUGAAUCUGGACAGGCACUGCUUGCUGCUGGUCACUAUGCCUCAGAUGAAGUGAGGGAGAAGCUGACCGUCCUUUCCGAGGAGAGAGCGGCGCUGCUGGAGCUGUGGGAGCUGCGCAGGCAGCAGUACGAGCAGUGCAUGGACCUGCAGCUCUUCUACCGGGACACUGAGCAGGUGGACAACUGGAUGAGCAAGCAGGAGGCGUUCCUGUUGAAUGAAGACUUGGGAGAUUCCUUGGAUAGUGUGGAAGCGCUUCUUAAGAAGCACGAAGACUUUGAGAAAUCCCUUAGUGCCCAGGAGGAAAAGAUUACAGCAUUAGAUGAAUUUGCAACCAAGCUAAUUCAGAACAACCACUAUGCAAUGGAAGAUGUGGCCACUCGCCGAGAUGCUCUGUUGAGCCGCCGCAAUGCCCUUCACGAGAGAGCCAUGCGUCGCCGGGCCCAGCUAGCCGAUUCUUUCCAUCUGCAGCAGUUUUUCCGUGAUUCUGAUGAGCUCAAGAGUUGGGUCAAUGAGAAGAUGAAAACUGCCACAGAUGAAGCUUAUAAAGAUCCAUCCAACCUACAAGGAAAAGUACAGAAGCAUCAGGCUUUUGAGGCUGAGCUCUCAGCAAACCAGAGCCGAAUUGAUGCCUUGGAGAAAGCUGGCCAAAAGCUGAUUGAUGUCAACCACUAUGCCAAGGAUGAAGUGGCAGCUCGUAUGAAUGAGGUGAUCAGUUUGUGGAAGAAACUGCUAGAGGCCACUGAACUGAAAGGAAUAAAGCUUCGUGAAGCCAACCAGCAACAGCAAUUUAAUCGCAAUGUUGAGGAUAUUGAAUUGUGGCUAUAUGAAGUAGAAGGUCACUUGGCUUCGGAUGAUUACGGCAAAGAUCUUACCAAUGUGCAGAACCUCCAGAAGAAACAUGCCCUGCUAGAGGCAGAUGUGGCUGCUCAUCAGGACCGAAUUGAUGGCAUUACCAUUCAGGCCCGCCAGUUCCAAGAUGCUGGCCAUUUUGAUGCAGAAAACAUCAAGAAGAAACAGGAAGCCCUCGUGGCUCGCUAUGAGGCACUCAAGGAGCCCAUGGUUGCCCGGAAGCAGAAGCUGGCCGAUUCUCUGCGGUUGCAGCAGCUCUUCCGGGAUAUUGAGGAUGAGGAGACGUGGAUUCGAGAGAAGGAGCCCAUUGCCGCAUCUACCAACAGAGGUAAGGAUUUAAUUGGGGUCCAGAAUCUGCUAAAGAAACAUCAAGCCUUACAAGCAGAAAUUGCUGGACAUGAACCACGCAUCAAAGCAGUUACACAGAAGGGGAAUGCCAUGGUGGAGGAAGGCCAUUUUGCUGCAGAGGAUGUGAAGGCCAAGCUUCACGAGCUGAACCAAAAGUGGGAGGCACUGAAAGCCAAAGCUUCCCAGCGUCGGCAGGACCUGGAGGACUCUCUGCAGGCCCAGCAGUACUUUGCUGAUGCUAACGAGGCUGAAUCCUGGAUGCGGGAGAAGGAACCCAUUGUGGGCAGCACUGACUAUGGCAAGGACGAAGACUCUGCUGAGGCUCUACUGAAGAAACACGAAGCUUUGAUGUCAGAUCUCAGUGCCUACGGCAGCAGCAUCCAGGCUUUGCGAGAACAAGCACAGUCCUGCCGGCAACAAGUGGCCCCCAUGGAUGAUGAGACUGGGAAGGAGCUGGUCUUGGCUCUCUACGACUAUCAGGAGAAGAGUCCCCGAGAGGUCACCAUGAAGAAGGGAGAUAUCCUUACCUUACUCAACAGCACCAACAAGGAUUGGUGGAAAGUGGAAGUGAACGAUCGUCAGGGUUUUGUGCCAGCUGCUUACGUGAAGAAAUUGGACCCCGCCCAGUCAGCCUCCCGGGAGAAUCUCCUGGAGGAGCAAGGCAGCAUAGCACUGCGGCAGGAGCAGAUUGACAAUCAGACACGCAUAACUAAGGAGGCCGGCAGUGUAUCUCUGCGUAUGAAGCAGGUGGAAGAACUAUAUCAUUCUCUGCUGGAACUGGGUGAGAAGCGUAAAGGCAUGUUGGAGAAGAGUUGCAAGAAGUUUAUGUUGUUCCGUGAAGCGAAUGAACUACAGCAAUGGAUCAAUGAGAAGGAAGCCGCUCUGACAAGUGAGGAGGUCGGAGCAGACUUGGAGCAGGUUGAGGUGCUCCAGAAGAAGUUUGAUGACUUCCAGAAGGACCUGAAGGCCAAUGAGUCACGGUUGAAGGACAUUAACAAGGUAGCUGAAGACCUGGAGUCUGAAGGUCUCAUGGCAGAGGAGGUGCAGGCUGUGCAACAACAGGAAGUGUAUGGCAUGAUGCCCAGGGUAAGUUUCGGGUGCUGCAUGUGGAUCUUGAACAUGAGAAGGACUUAAAUCUUGGGAAGAAUACCAAGCUAAGAACUUCUUCAUCAGAAUUGCUGUUCCUGAACCUCAGAUGCCUUUUGUGUGUAAAGAUUUGUGGAAAACACCAAAAAUUGAUUUCUUUUUUUUUUUGAGACGGAGUCUCACUCUGUCAACCAGGCUGGAGUGCAGUGGUGUGAUCUUGGCUCACUGCAACCUCCACCUCCCAGGUUCAAGCGAUUCUCCCAUCUCAGCUUCCUGAGUAGCUGGAAUUCCACGCAUGUGGCACCACACCCAGCUAAUUUUUGUAUUUUUAGUAGAGAUGGGGUUUCACCAUGUUGUCCAGGCUGGUCUCGAACUCCCAACCUCAGGUGAUCUGCCCACCUCAGCUUCCCAGAGUGCUGGGAUUACAGACGUGAGCCACCACGCCCGGCCCAGAAAUUGAUUUCUAUUUGCUAUUCUCCAAAAGACAAAAAAAGUUGGUGGUUUUUUUUUUUUUGGUCUUUUUUUUGUUUGUCUUUUAAGAGACAGGGUCUUGCUUUGUUGCCCAGACUGGAGGUCAGUGGCUUUUCACAGCUGCAGUUAUAGCCUACUGCAGCCUCGAACUCCUGGCCUCAAGCAAUCCUCCCACCUCAGCCUCCCAGGUAUCUAGGACAACAGGCAUGCAACACAAAGCACAGCUCUAAAAAAAAAAAAAAAAAAAAAAAAAGUCUUCUGUCUCUUCAGUUUUCUAAAACUUUUUCUAUAGCUAUCUUUAGGUUCAUUUAUUACCCCUUUGCAGACAAUCUUAUGAGUACAACAUAAAAGUUGGUGGUUUUCUUAUUAAAUUUCUUUAUUCUCUCCAUUUCUUCUACUGGAUAAAAAAAUGGAAUUUUUCUCUCCCCUGUUUGUUGGCUUAAUUUUUCUUAACCAGCCUUGUAGUUUGUUACCAGCCAAACUAUGGAGGGAAAAUGCUGUUUUGGUUAAUGUAUUAGUAUCUGGGAUCUCCCCUGGGGGAAACUAGAGUCAUUCGCUGGAAAGGCCAGGUGCUUUGUUUCAUGGUCAAUUGCUUGGCUGCCUAAAUUCCUUUUUCUUUGAAUAGGAUGAAACUGAUUCCAAGACAGCCUCCCCGUGGAAGUCUGCUCGUCUGAUGGUUCACACCGUGGCCACCUUUAAUUCCAUCAAGGAGCUGAAUGAGCGCUGGCGGUCCCUACAGCAGCUGGCCGAGGAACGGAGCCAGCUCUUGGGCAGCGCCCAUGAAGUACAGAGGUUCCACAGAGAUGCUGAUGAAACCAAAGAAUGGAUUGAAGAGAAGAAUCAGGCUCUAAACACAGACAAUUAUGGACAUGAUCUUGCCAGUGUCCAGGCCCUGCAACGCAAGCAUGAGGGCUUCGAGAGGGACCUUGCGGCUCUCGGUGACAAGGUAAACUCCCUUGGUGAAACAGCAGAGCGCCUGAUCCAAUCCCAUCCCGAGUCAGCAGAAGACCUGCAGGAAAAGUGCACAGAGUUAAACCAGGCCUGGAGCAGCCUGGGGAAACGUGCAGAUCAGCGCAAGGCAAAGUUGGGUGACUCCCACGACCUGCAGCGCUUCCUUAGCGAUUUCCGGGACCUCAUGUCUUGGAUCAAUGGAAUACGGGGGUUGGUGUCCUCAGAUGAGCUAGCCAAGGAUGUCACCGGAGCUGAGGCGUUGCUGGAGCGACACCAGGAACACCGGACAGAAAUCGAUGCCAGGGCUGGCACUUUCCAGGCAUUUGAGCAGUUUGGACAGCAGCUGUUGGCUCACGGACACUAUGCCAGCCCUGAGAUCAAGCAGAAACUUGAUAUUCUUGACCAGGAGCGUGCAGACCUGGAGAAGGCCUGGGUUCAGCGCAGGAUGAUGCUGGAUCAGUGCCUUGAACUGCAGGUAUGUGUGCUCCUGGUUUCUGACCAAGUGUUUCCUUGCUGAAGGGCCUCAUUUUCUCACCUGCCUCUUGCCGUCUUUAGCUGUUCCAUCGGGACUGUGAGCAAGCUGAGAACUGGAUGGCUGCCCGGGAGGCCUUCUUGAAUACCGAAGACAAAGGAGACUCACUGGACAGCGUAGAGGCUCUGAUCAAAAAACAUGAAGACUUUGACAAAGCGAUUAACGUCCAGGAAGAGAAGAUUGCUGCUCUGCAGGCCUUUGCCGACCAGCUCAUCGCUGCCGGCCAUUAUGCCAAGGGAGACAUUUCUAGCCGGCGCAAUGAGGUCUUGGACAGGUGGCGACGUCUGAAAGCCCAAAUGAUUGAGAAAAGGUCAAAGCUAGGAGAAUCUCAAACCCUCCAACAGUUCAGCCGGGAUGUGGAUGAGAUUGAGGCUUGGAUCAGUGAAAAAUUGCAAACGGCAAGUGAUGAGUCAU
rnacentral:sRNA from 1 species